rnacentral:rRNA from 1 species
GGAUCGCUGUGAUGCGGGCGGUUCGCCGCCCGCGACUCUGCGAGAAGUCCAUUGAACCUUAUCAUUUAGAGGAAGGAGAAGUCGUAACAAGGUUUCCGUAGGUGAACCUGCGGAAGGAUCAUUG